rnacentral:rRNA from 1 species
AGCCUUAGGCUAAUAAAUCUAAGGUGAAACCUGCCCAAUGUAGCUUUGCUCAUGAAUGGCCGCGGUACUCUGACCGUGCUAAGGUAGCGAAAUCAAUUGGCUUUUAAAUGGGGUCAGGUAUGAAUGGAAUUACGUAGUUUAACUGUCUCCUGAUUAAUUAUUUGAAGUUACUAUGUAGAUGAAAAAGUCUACAAUAAGAAAAAAGACGAGAAGACCCUUAGAGUUUUACUAAAAGUAAACCCAUAUUAAUGUUUACAAAAGUUUAGUUGGGGCAACUUAGGAGAACUUUUCAAACCUCCUAAAUUAAUACUAACCGUUCCUUUAAAAUUUGUAUAAACUACCUUAGGGAUAACAGCAUUAUGUAAAAAAUAAGUUUGUGACCUCGAUGUUGGACUGGGAAACUUAAGGGCUAGCCGCUCUUUAGGAAAGUUCUGUUCGAACUAAAAUUCCC